GGGUCAGUAGGUUGGUCGUGCCACCGGUACGUACUGGUCUCACUGAUUCCUCCUUCCUGAAGAACCGUAAUGCCAUUAAUUUGGUGUUGCGGGGAAACAGGACUGUUACUUUGAAAAAACUAGAGUGCUUAAAGCAAGCUAACGCUUGAAUACAUUAGCAUGGAAUAAUGAAAUAGGACGAUCGAUCCUAUUUUGUUGGUUUCUAGGAUUGACGUA
rnacentral:rRNA from 1 species